GAUGAAGAACGCAGCAAAAUGCGAUACUUGGUGUGAAUUGCAGAAUCCCGUGAACCAUCGAGUUUUUGAACGCAAGUUGCGCCCGAAGCCUUUUGGCCGAGGGCACGUCUGCCUGGGCGUCACGCAUCGCGUCGCCCCCAACAAAUUCUCCGUCAGGGGAGCUUGUGUUUCGGGGGCGGAUACUGGUCUCCCGUGCUCAUGGCGCGGUUGGCCGAAAUAGGAGUCCCUUCGAUGGACGCACGAACUAGUGGUGGUCGUAAAAACCCUCGUCUUUUGUUUCGUGCCGUUAGUCGCGAGGGAAGCUCUUCAAAAACCCCAGCGCGUCGUCUCUUGACGGCGCUUCGACCGCGACCCCAGGUCAGGCGGGACUACCCGCUGAGUUUAAGCAUAUCAAUAAGCGGAGGA
rnacentral:misc_RNA from 1 species